ACACCUCAACUCCUCAUGGCUUGCCAUGAUGAGCUUGGACUUUGGGGGUCUUGCUGGCCAGUGGUCGGCUCCUCUCAAAUGAAUCAGCUUGCCAGUGUUUGGCGGCACCACAGGUGUGAUAACUAUCUACGCUUGUGGUUUCCUGCUGGGCAUCCUUCAGCAAUGGAGGUUCACUGGAGCUCAUAAACGUCUCUCCACAGCGAGGACAACUUCUUGAAU
rnacentral:misc_RNA from 1 species